GACGAACGCUGGCGGCGUGCUUAACACAUGCAAGUCGAACGGAAAGGCCCUGCUUUUGUGGGGUGCUCGAGUGGCGAACGGGUGAGUAACACGUGAGUAACAUGCCCUUGACUUUGGGAUAACUUCAGGAAACUGGGGCUAAUACCGGAUAGGAGCUCCUGCUGCAUGGUGGGGGUUGGAAAGUUUCGGCGGUUGGGGAUGGACUAGCGGGUUAUCAGCUUGAUGGUGGGGUAGUGGAAUACCAAGGCUUUGAAGGGUAGCCGGCCUGAGAGGGUGACCGGCCACAUUGGGACUGAGGUACGGCCCAGACGCCUACGGUAGGCAGCAGUGGAAAAUAUUGCACAAUGGGCGGAAGCCUGAUGCAGCAACGCCGCGUUCGUGAUGACGGCCUUCGGGUUGUAAACCGCUUUCGCCUGUGACGAAGCGGGAGUGACGGUAAUGGGUAAAGAAGCACCGGCUAACUACGUG
rnacentral:rRNA from 1 species